CCUAAAGUUUUAUUCUUGCUUAAAUAUUCAUUUUUUCUUUGUAUUAUAUGUAAGUUUUGUGAGACUGAAUGUUCUUUUUGCAGUAAUUUAAUUUAAUUAUCAAGUUAUUUUGGAAUUAGUAAUUGAUCUAGUAUUGGCAUGUUUCGUGCCAGCAGCCGCGGUUAUACGAUUAAUGCAAGUGAAUAUUAUUGGUUAAAGCAGUUAUUUAUAUUUUUGAGUUUAAUUAUAAAUUAAUAAGGUGAAAUUUAGAAUUUUUUAAUGACUCUUUUUAUGAAUCUGUGAAACUUAAAUAAUAAACUAGGAUUAGAUACCCUAUUAUUUUAAGUGUUAAUAUUAUUUACCAGGGUAGUAUUAGUUAGGAUCUUUAAACCCAUAGAAUUUGGCGGUAUCUUAUUCCAUUCAGAGGAACCUACCCCGUAAUUGAUAAUACACGAUUAACUUUACUUAGUUUAUUUGUUUGUAUAUCUCCGUUAUCAGAAAAUCUUUUUAGAGUUAUAAUUUUCUUAAUUUAUAAUUAUAAAGAAUUUCAGGUCAAGGUGCAGUUUAUAACUAAGAGGAGUUGGGUUACAAUAAUUUAUUAAUUAUUACGAAUUUAUUAUUGAAAAUAUUUAAUGAAGGUGGAUUUGAUUGUAAUUUAAUUUAUUUAAUUUAAUUGAUAUUGGCUCUGAGGUGUGUACACAUCGCCCGUCGCUCUCAUUAUUGAAUUUUUACUUUAAUUUUAAAAUUUAUUGGGUUUUUUCAAAUUAGAUGAGAUAAGUCGUAACAUAGUAGAUGUACUGGAAAGUGUAUCUAGGAAGAG
rnacentral:ncRNA from 1 species